AACACACCACUGGAAUAACAGAGAGAUCAAACCAACCAUCACCAUUGGAUACUGAGAUAAAACCAUCCAUCCUGGAAACAGAGAGUUAAAAGCAACUAACCCCGCUGGAUACAGAGAGUUAAAACCAACUAACCCUGCUGGAAACACCUGGACUUGAAGAUCGGACACCAACAGAGUGAAUCACCAUGGAAACGCAAUCUGAUCCCCAAUUGGCCAGCCAGACUGGCCAGGCUACGCCCACAGAUUUUUUUCCUGCAGCAUCGCCAAAGACAGGGGGCGGGAUCUCUCCUAACCCACCAAGCUCAUUGGGUGAGGACAGUGCGAGCUACCUGUCGUCCACCAGUAGGAUCGCAGGAUCUCCUGCCCGCAG
ensembl:lncRNA